rnacentral:misc_RNA from 1 species
GAUGAAGAACGCAGCGAAAUGCGAUAAGUAGUGUGAAUUGCAGAAUUCAGUGAAUCAUCGAAUCUUUGAACGCACAUUGCGCCCCUUGGUAUUCCAUGGGGCAAGCCUGUUCGAGCGUCAUUUGUACCUUCAAGCUCUGCUUGGUGUUGGGUGUUUGUCUCGCCUCUGCGUGUAGACUCGCCUCAAAACAAUUGGCAGCCGGCGUAUUGAUUUCGGAGCGCAGUACAUCUCGCGCUUUGCACUCAUAACGACGACGUCCAAAAGUACAUUUUUACACUCUUGACCUCGGAUCAGGUAGGGAUACCCGCUGAACUUAAGCAUAUCAAUAAGCGGAGGA